UGUAUACUCCCUCCGUCCGGAAAUACUUGUCAUAGAAAUGGAUACAAAUGGGUGUAUCUAAAACUAAAAUACAUCUAGAUACAUCCAUUCUUUGGACAAGUAUUUCCGGACGGAGGGAGUAUUAG
rfam:Triticum urartu cultivar G1812 contig348766, whole genome shotgun sequence.